GACGAACGCUGGCGGCGUGCCUAAUACAUGCAAGUAGAACGAGUUGCGAACGGGUGAGUGAGGGGUAGGUAACUGCCUCAUAGCGGGGGAUAACGAUUGGAAAAGAUAGCUAAUACGGCAUACUGUGAGAUGGAACUGAGUUGUUUUAGAUAGUGGGUGAGGUAAAGGCUGACCAAGGCGACGAUACAGAGCCGGACUGAGAGGGGGAUCGGCCACACUGGGACUGCGACACGGCCCAGACUCCGACGGUAUGCAGCAGUAGGGAAUCUUCGGAAAUGGAGUGAAGUCUGACCGAGCAACGCCGAGUGAGUGAAGAAGGUGUUCGGAGCGGAAAGCUCGGUUUUUAGAGAAGCGGUAACUAACCAGAAAGGGACGGCUAACUACGUGCCAGCAGCCGCGGUAAUAC
rnacentral:rRNA from 1 species